rnacentral:rRNA from 1 species
UACGUAGGGGGCGAGCGUUAUCCGGAAUUACUGGGCGUAAAGCGCACGCAGGCGGUUCGCCAAGUUUGGAGUGACAGUUGUCGGCUCAACCGACAAAGGACUUCAAAAACUGGUGAACUUGAGGACGAGAGAGGAACAUGGAACUCCAGGUGUAGUAGUGAAAUGCGUAGAUAUCUGGAAGAACACCAAUGGCGAAGGCAAUGUUCUGGCUCGUUUCUGACGCUCAGGUGCGAAAGCCAGGGGAGCAAACGGG